UGCAGGUUUUUUUAAAUAUUUUAAAUGGUCUUUAAAGGUGAAUCUUUUGAUUUUAGUUCUGAACAGGCUUACCAGGUUUACCAUCUUCUAAAAUCUGAGUAACUGAAAGUGGAGGAAUGUUUUCUUCAGCUAAAUCUUUAAAUGAAGAAUAAAUGACAUGAGAUUAAAGAGUUGUUGCAACAUACAGUUUAUGAUCUUUGGCACAUUUUUGAUACACACGCCAAACUUCCAAUCACAGGAAACUGCAUCAAAGAGGAAGGGUGCUCAUUAUGUAAACUAACCAUGUUAACAACCCAGUACUGGUUCAGACUUGAGAUACAGCUCUCCAUGACAGCAGCUGAAGGCUGUAAGAUCAAAGAUUUGUAUAACAAAGCAAAAAUUAAUCAUUAAAGAAUAAAGCUUUGUAGUAGAUAAAAUGAAAAUCUUUGUUCCUAACUGUACCUGCUGAUAUCUCAUUCUACUUAAUUUGUGUGGUUGUUCAAGUUACAAAAAGAAGUGGACUAGUAAGUAGUUGUUAAAAUACUUUUUUUUCCUGAAGAGAAGCAGUUGAUUCAAUAUAUAUGUAUUUUUUUAAAUAAAGACUGUUUCCAG
rnacentral:lncRNA from 7 species